CCUACGGGGGGCAGCAGUGGGGAAUUUUGGACAAUGGGGGCAACCCUGAUCCAGCCAUGCCGCGUGAGUGAAGAAGGCCUUCGGGUUGUAAAGCUCUUACGGCCGGGAAGAAAUCGCUCAAGCUAAUACCUUGGGUGGAUGAUGGUACCGGAAGAAGAAGCACCGGCUAACUACGUGCCAGCAGCCGCGGUAAUACGUAGGGUGCUAGCGUGAAUCGGAAUUACGGGGCGGGAGGCGUAAGAAGGCGGCGAAAUCCCCGGGCUUAACCUGGGAACUGCGUUUGUGACUGUGGUGCUCGAGUGCGGCAGAGGGGGGUGGAAUUCCACGUGUAGCAGUGAAAUGCGUAGAGAUGUGGAGGAACACCGAUGGCGAAGGCAGCCCCCUGGGUCGACACUGACGCUCAUGCACGAAAGCGUGGGGAGCAAACAGGAUUAGAUACCCCAGUAGUC
rnacentral:rRNA from 1 species